rnacentral:lncRNA from 1 species
AAUAUAUGUGUCUUUCAGCUCCACUAGAGUCUGGUGUGCUUGUCCAAAUGAUACAGGACAAAGCAAAGCGAACUCCCUAGGAGCAAGCAGGAACGAUGAGGCAGAGUGAUUGGCUAUGAGCUGUACGUGUGCUAGAGCGUCUGCACAGAUUGGUGACAUCACUUCGCUAUAGCUGGUGUCAACUCAUCCUGCUUGAUAGUAAUGACCCCGAGGUCAAUCGAUUCCAAAGCUCUCCUUGAGAGAAAUGACAGAGUGCUGUGGGUUCAGUGUGAAAUGUCCUGUACAGGCACAUGUUUUACAGGAGAGUCCUCCAGGUUUGGGAAGACCGUGGAACCUUCAGGUAGUAGGGCUCUCUGGGAAACGUGGGUGAUUAUUGGCAGGCAUUGAUGUUUGAUAGUACCACUUCUGCAUGCCCAGGAAAUUCAUGUACCUUGCUUUCCUGCCACCAUGCUUUCUCUAAUGUCUUAUAUUAAAAACCAAUUCUUUCUUAUCAAGGUCCCUUCUUAAACUGGAGGUUAAACUAAGCCCUUCUUCCUCUCAGUUGCUUCCUGAUGAGUAUUUGGUUACAGUGAUGAGAAAAGCCACCCAUAUGGAACAAACCCAUCUCAUCAGUAGACAAAAAGGUACCUUCCUGCUGACUUUGUCCAGAAUAUGCAUGAAAUUGACUGACAUUAUACUGUUUAGUUGACUUUUUAAAAAAUGGGGAUGAUGGGACUGGAGAAAUGACUCAUGGUAAAGACCAUGUGUUGCUCUUCCAAAACACACACUUAGACACACACACACACACUUAGACACACACACACACACACAGAGAGAGAGAGAGAGAGAGAGAGAGAGAGAGAGAGAGAGAGAACCUUUCAAAACACAACCCCUCUAUUCAGAAUAACUUUUAUCCAGAGAUAAUUUUGAAGGGCUUUUAAUCAAUGUGCAUUAUAACUAGUUCUGCAUAACAAUGUCUUAUAUUAAAAACCAAUUCUUUCUUAUCAAGCCUUUCAUCGUCUAAGUCUUCUACCUCUUAAGUAUUUUCAAUCAAUAACUAAAAAGAUCAUUUUGAUGCCCGUUUUGUGUUGUGUGCUUUUUAUAAACAUCUCUAAUAGUAUAUCUCAGGAUAAUCUCUUCAACUCUCUCAGAUGCAUGCAUAGAAUCUAGUUCAAAGGAAACUUCAGAAGAUGUCAGAUUAGAAGCAGCUCCAUGUAACACCAGGAUGGAGAAAACACAGAGGAACAAAGGAUCAACUUGAUACUGAAAAAAAGGAAAGAACAUUCAGAGUCACCACAGAGGUCAGAGGUCAGGGAAGGACUGGAUGGAGUAGUGAUGCUGCCCAAGCAGCUAAACAAGGAACAAGUCUGUCAGGUUCUCCAGUCAGUAAUGGGGAAACUGAAGAGCUUUGCUCAAAGGAAUCCAAAUACCUCUGGCUUAAGAAGAGAAAAAGAAAAGAGAAAGCUUGGCAAUGAGUCCUCUUCCUAGCCAUAGGACAAGUGCACAGUCCCAUAAGACUUACAUCCAGUAUGGGGACCUGACCUGCUCGUCCUUCCUGGUCCCUCCUGUGUGACAGAUAAGUCAGCACUGAGAAGAGUCCACCUGGACACUCCAUGGCCAUAUGCAGACAGCAUCUUGAGGAAAGGCUUGAGGCUGGGCUACUGGAAGGGGCUUGAAAACGAAGAACAUUUAUAUGCCUGUGAGCCUGAGAACAGAUAGUCAUGGUCUGCAGCAGACAUGGGUUGGGGAAGGACUGGACACACAAAAAGUAGGCUGCAGAGGUGGAGGACUCAACUGUCCAGUGGCCCUACUCACUUUCUUUGCCCUGAGCCAGAUAACUGGGGAGACAGAUAGCCCUGAGCCAGAGGCGAGUUUGACAGUCAACUUGGCUACUCUUUCCCUGACAUGAUGCUUUCUGCUUAUGGGACUGAGAAUGCCAAAGCUCACAUCCGGAUGGAUGAUACACCCUGUAGCCUCUUCUCUCCUGUGGGGCAGUUAAUACUAAAUAGGAUUCCAAACGACUAAGACAAGUGACAUAACUACAGGACUCAAUUUCCCAAAUGCUUCAUUCAUGCCUUGACACACCCUGAAACAUCUCUUGCUAGAUGGUGUAGAAAAUACCCAGUGUGAAGUAGAUAGACAGGAAUGGGCAGGCAGAGCUCCCACCUAAUUUAUAGGCUGCAAAGCUCAGGAUGGUCAGAAGUCCCUUGUGACCUACAAAGAUAGGAGUCCCUUAAAGUGACCACAGCCUCUGUAAGCAAUGGAGCUAACUACUCCGUGCUUAGUGUCACUUUGAACAGGAUGAAACAGAAAAGUCCUUAACCAAGCCUUCCCCUCCUAGGUUCAGAAGGAAACUUCUCAAUACAAUGUGUUUACGGUUUCAGAUUCUUUUUUAAUUUUCUUUUUGAAUGUUAUUUUGGCUCCUGUGUCAGCCCUCAUUUUCUGAUACUCAAUAUUUUUCAAAAAGCAGAUUAUUUGUUUUUCCCUCCCUCUUAUGUUUUUAUUUAUUUAUUUAUUUAGUUAGUUAGUUAGUUGGUUAGUUUGCUUACCCAUUUUUUCCUUAAUGUGUGGGUUUUUUAAAUUCCUUGUUCUUUUGCCUCCCUCUUUGCGAUUUUCCCCUUUCUUCCGUUUGCUUCUUCUUCCUUCUCUGUUUUCCCUAUCUCCUUCUGUUCUUUCACUUGAUUAUUAUUUUCAUUUUACACAAGUAACUCUCAACUUCAGAGACUACUGUAAAGACUGUUAUACUUUUCUGUGGCCAUUAGUGAUGGCUCUAGUUGUUUUAAAGCAUGUUCCUUUCCCUGGUUUGAUUUUGUGCAUUGCUAUUAUCAUGGGUCCUGUUCUCUAGAGGACUCGGCUUUGCAGCAAAAGCAGGUCACUAAGUAAGCUCUCAAAUGAAAACAGAAAAGGCAGCCAUCCCCACAGAUUGCAGAUUGCAACACAAACAAGCCAGAAACAUGGAAAGGCAAGAUGCCAGGAUUCCUUCAAAGGAUCAGAACUCAGCAAUUACUAAGUCCAAAGCCUGAGAAACAAGUAGGAGACCAAACAAUGAAUUCAAAUGUUUAUCAGUAAAAUAAUGUUUUUGAAAAAAAAACAAAACAAAACUUCAAAGUGAAUAAAAAUAAGCCAAUGAUGGAGUCAUUCAGGGCCCCAAAAAGGAAGUCAAGAACAUGUGUGAAAAUUUCAGGCAAGAAAUGAGAAUUUAUAUGAAGCAAAUGAUAAUGCUAAAAAUGAAAAAUACUAUAAAUCAAAAAACAUAGACAGUAUUGCCAGUUGUCUAAAUCAAGCAAUAGAAGAAAUGCCAAAGAUGGAAAGCAAGGUCGAAACCAUGUUGCAUUCAGCUAACAGUAAGACAAAAAUAACCAUGGCUGAAAUUUGCAAAUCUUAUGGGAUUCGAUGAAGAGAUCAAGGCUAGGAACCCACUGAGUAGAAG